rnacentral:rRNA from 1 species
GACGAACGCUGGCGGCGUGCUUAACACAUGCAAGUCGAACGGAAAGGCCCUGCUUUUGUGGGGUGCUCGAGUGGCGAACGGGUGAGUAACACGUGAGUAACCUGCCCUUGACUUUGGGAUAACUUCAGGAAACUGGGGCUAAUACCGGAUAGGAGCCCCCGCUGCAUGGUGGGGGUUGGAAAGUUUCGGCGGUUGGGGAUGGACUCGCGGCUUAUCAGCUUGUUGGUGGGGUAGUGGCUUACCAAGGCUUUGACGGGUAGCCGGCCUGAGAGGGUGACCGGCCACAUUGGGACUGAGAUACGGCCCAGACUCCUACGGGAGGCAGCAGUGGGGAAUAUUGCACAAUGGGCGGAAGCCUGAUGAAGCAACGCCGCGUGCGGGAUGACGGCCUUCGGGUUGUAAACCGCUUUCGCCUGUGACGAAGCGUGAGUGACGGUAAUGGGUAAAGAAGCACCGGCUAACUACGUG